ensembl:lncRNA
GUUAUAUUAUAAAUUACUGUGUUUUAUUUUCCACAAUAAAACAAAUUACUGUUUUGAUGUUUUCUUUGUGAAAUUGAUUCAUUUUACUCAGAAAAUAAGUUAAAUUCAUUUCAUUUUCUCUUAUUAUUCAGUCAUUAUUUUUAAGGUUUAUUUGGAAAAUUAUUGAAUCCAAUUUGAGUUUUACUGAAAAAACAAGAAGAUUUCAUUUCUUUGUAAUGGAUAUUUUAGGAAGUUUUUACUAAACCUUUGCCAGAUAGUUAGUAAAUUCAAAGUAAUUUUUCUCAGAGACUUAUUUCAUAUCAAUUAUUUUUUUUGGUAAAGUUGGGCAAUUUCAACCUUCAGUUUGAGAUUUUGACCCUAAAUCCAACACAUAUUUACAGUUUAAUUCUAUUAAUAUCUACUUUUGUUUUCUAUUUGAAUUUAAUUAACAUUUUCUCUACAUUUUACAUAAAUCUUUUGAAAUUAAAAUCUACUUAAUUAUUUCAAGUGUCACUUUGUUGCCAUAACUUUUUUAAGUAACCUCUAGUCACAGUUUUUACAGUGUAGAUGUCUGUUUUCUCAGUUGUUUUACUGUGUGUCUCACUGUGACUCUUAUCCCUCGAUCUCCUCCCUCUGUUCGUUGGGUUUUGUCAGUCUGUGUUGCCGUGUGUGUCUCAUACUUCCUGUUUUUGACAGUCUCUGGUUCUGUGUGUACUAUGUUCAGCCAUGCUUCCCCAGGUGUGUCCUUUUUGCCCCGAUUCCCUUGUGUAUUUAGUGCCUCGGUCUCCCUCUGUCCGGUGUCAUGAUCUUCCCAGGUGUGUGUUCUGCUUGACUGUUUAGUUCCUGGUUUCCUCCUAGUUUGCUUUUAUGAAUUUUGUAACCCAGCAAUAAAGCUGCAUUUUUGAUUUAGUCCUGUCUCUGAAAGGCAGUAUUUUGGGUCCUCGAUCUUGCCUGCUUCACACUGCCACUUGACAUAAAACUUAUGUGACUGAUAAUCUGCUAACCAUGUUUAGUGUUGUUGGUCCAUGUUCUGAGCCUCAGGCUGAUAAUUUAUAGAAACAGUCUCUGUGAGUUUUCCACUAAAACAUUUUUUUCUUUUCAGUUUUGUUCGGGGAAGCAGCCCUGUAUGCGUGUUCUCAGAACGUCGCUGUACAAACAGGAAGUGAUGUAUGCUGUGCUGGUCCACAGCCCAGACCACAAAGAACGCUUCAAAGACUUGUAUCCUGAGGUGUCUGAUGACCCGGAUGCCGUCUGUGCUUACAGACAUGGACACUUCAUCUGGAGGCCACAGGCCAUGUGUGAGACACACAAGUACAAGCUGACUGUAAAUGACAAUGUGGUGGAAGCUGAGAAGGCGACUAAGCCACAUCAGUGGUAUGUUUGGGACCACAUCACCAUCGCCCUGCUCGUAGAGGGCGGAAAGGUGCUGAAGUUUGGUUCUGAUGAUUUACUACAGAGGCUUACAUUCUGUAAAAAAGAUCAAGUGCUUGUUGGACCAAGAUACUAUGAUUCUCGUGAUCUUGCUGAAAAUUGGGUUAAAACGCUGUGGGGGGAAACAACGUUUGAACUGAAAGAGGAGUCUUCAUCUGUGGAGGAGUCUGCACUUGAGGAGCGUUUUGGAGAUCUCUCUGUUGAUGAAAAAUGACCACAAGAUGAUAAAAUGCAGUCUGAAGACUCCCUGCGACGAGACAGCAGCUUCAGUUUGAAUUCUCUGGGUUCUGCAAACUUUUCUUGUUUCUUAUUUUUAAGUGACCAAACAUAUAACUUCAUGUUGGUGUGGUGAAAGCAUUUACAGGGUGUGAAUUUCACGUUUUAUUUUGUAAUCUUUAGUCAUGCUGAGGAUGUCUGUGGGGUGAUAUUAGUUUAAUAGAUUAAUAGUAUAUUAAAGGUUUAUCUAAUGAACCACUUCCUGUGGUAACUAAGUGCACAGUAAAAGACAAAUGACUAAACAUUCAUGACAAUAUGAGGAGAAAAAUGUGAUCAUGUGUUUUAAUGCAGUCUUUCGGGAUGGGAUGUAUCUAUAUACCUGAAUUAAAGAGAAAUUACUUUGCACACACAAAAAGUGGAAGUUGAAGUUGAUUUAAAACUUUGCUUUUAACUAUGUAAAGCACUUCGUGCUACAUUUUUUUUGUAUGAAAAGUGUUUUAUAAAUAAAGACUGAUUGAUUGAUUGAACAACAAC